rnacentral:rRNA from 1 species
GAUGAAUGCUGGCGGCGUGCCUAACACAUGCAAGUCGAGCGGUAACAGGAGUAGUUUACUACUUGCUGACGAGCGGCGGACGGCUGAGUAACGCGUGGGAACGUGCCCCAAAGUGAGGGAUAAGCUCCAGAAAUGGAGUCUAAUACCGCAUAUGACUUUCGGAUUAAAGGAUUUAUCCGCUUUGGGAGCGGCCCGCGUUAGAUUAGGUAGUUGGUAGGGUAAUGGCCUACCAAGCCGACGAUCUAUAGCUGGUCUGAGAGGAUGAUCAGCCAGACUGGGACUGAGACACGGCCCAGACUCCUACGGGAGGCAGCAGUAGGGAAUCUUCGGCAAUGGACGAAAGUCUGACCGAGCAACGCCGCGUGAGCGAUGAAGGCCUUCGGGUCGUAAAGCUCUGUUGUCAGAGAAGAACAAGUACCGGAGUAACUGCCGGUACCUUGACGGUACCUGACCAGAAAGCCACGGC